rnacentral:tRNA from 1 species
UAGCUCAAGUGGUAGAGUGCAUGUUUAGCAUGCAUGAGGUCCUGGGUUCAAUCCCCAG